rnacentral:lncRNA from 10 species
AAUUGAACAGUGGUAGAUCCUAUGACCCAGCCACUGCAUUUCUAGGUAUAUACUCUGGAGAACUCUUGCAUAAGGAUGCCAAGAGAUAUGCAAAAGAAUGCUCACUGUAAUACUUGUAAUGUUACGUAAUGGUAAAAAUAAACUUAAAACAAGCUAAGAGUUCAUCAACAGGGGAAUAAAUGAAUAAAUUGUCCCACAUGCAUUCAAGGGAAUUCUAUGCAGCCUUGCCUCCAAAAAUGUGAUGCCCAACCAGCAGUGUUGGCUUCAGUUGAGAACUUCAGACAUACCAAAUCAGAAUCUGUACUUGAACAAGAUCCUGUAGUGAUUCAUGUGCCAAUUAAGGUUCAAGAAGGGCUGUUCUUACAGUUAAAUGAAUGAACUAUGGCUCCUUGUGUCAACUUGGAUAACUCUUAAAAAUAUAAUUUCAGAGAAAAAAAUACAAGCUGCCAAAGUUUAGUAACAGUAUUAUUGAGUCAGGAUAGAUAGUAAAGGAAAUAACCAUGUCCUUGGGACAUGAAAACUGCACCGUCAACACAUGAGCUGGUAACAAUGUCAGUUACCAUGUCUGUUAUGUGGGACACAGCAACUGCACCAGCAACGUAACAAACCCCAGUACUCACAUUGUGAUCAAGCCCAUCCAAGCAGAACUAUCUUCAGGGACUUUCCCCUGUAGAAAGCAUGCGCAUUUUAAUUUUACUUGUCCUCAGAUUGACCCUUUGCUCAUUAUAAUAGUAAAAAACACACCCCUGGAUGGAGAUUGAAGAUGCUAAUGAGACAUGUGAUACAUGAACAAGCACGUACAGCUACUGAGAAUACCCAAAAGACCACCUAUAAUAUACUUACUAGCAACAUCCUUUCCCACCCGUUAUGAAUAAUUAUGUGAUAUGGUUUGGCUCUAUGUCUUCUCCCAAAUCUCAUGUUGAAUUGUAAUCUCCAGUGUUGAGGGAGGGACCUGGUGGGAGGUGAUUGAAUCAUGGGGGCAGAUUUCCUCCUUGCUCUUCUCUUGAUAGUGAGUGAGUUCUCAUGAGAUCCAAUGGUUUAAAACUGUGUGGCACUUCCCCCUUCUCUCUCUCUUGCCACCAUGUGAAGAAGAUGUUUGCUUCCCCUUCACCUUCUGCCAUGAUUAUAAGUUUCCUGAGGCCUCCCAGUCAUGCUUCCUAUGAAGCAUGUGGAACUGUGAGUCAAUUAAACCUCUUUUCUUCAUAAAUUACCCAGGCUCAGGUAGUUCUUUAUAGCAGUGUGAGAAUGGACUAUUACAGAAAAUUGGUACCAAGAGUGGAGUAUUGCUAAAAAGAUACCUGAAAAUGUGGAAGCAACUUUGGAACUGGGUAAUGGGCAGAGGCUGGAACAGUUUAGAGGGCUCAGAAGAAGACAGGAAGAUGAUGGAAGAUUUAGAACUUCCUAGAGAUUUGUUGAAUGGUUGUAACCAAAACACUCAUAGUGAUAUGGACAAUGAAGUCCAGGCUGAGGUGCUCUCAGAUGGAGAUGAGGAACUUAUAGGAAACUGGAGUAAAGGUCACUCUUGCUAUGCUUUAGGAAAGAGACACAGCAUUUUGUCCCUGCCCUAGAGAUCUGUGGAACUUUGAACUUGAGAGAGAUGAUUUAGGGUAUCUGGCAGAAGAAAUUUCUAAGUAGCAAAGCAUUCAAGAUGAGACCUGGCUGUUUCUAAAAGUGUACACUCAUGUGUGUGAACAAAGAGAUUAUCUGAAACUGAAACUUCUGUUUAAAAGAGAAGCAGAGCAUAAAGGUUUGGAAAAUUUGCAACCUGGUUGUGUGGUAGAAAAGAAAAAAUUUUCUGGGGAGAAAUUUAAGCCUGCUACAGAAAUUUCCAUAAGUAAAGAGGAACUGAAUGUUAAUAGCCAAGACAAUGGAGAAAAUGUCUCCAGGAUAUGUCAGAGACCUUUGUGGCAGCCUUUCCCAUCACAGGCCCCAGAUGGACAUGUGUUGUUAAGUGAAAAAAUAAACCUCUACUAUUUUAAGCCACUGAGAUUGUGGGGUUGUUUGUUACAGCAGCAUAACCUAGCCUCUCCUGACUGAUACAGAGGGAAAUCCUGAGAUAAAGUUACUGCUUCUUUUGACAUGGUCACAACCAGCACAAUCCUCAGUUGAAGUUAUACCAUUCCCCUCCACAACCUGGCUAACUUAGCAAAAAAGCAAAAUAAAACAGAAACAAAGCAAAAAGAACACAGAAUCCCCAGAGGCUUUAUUAAUGGAGGUAUCACUAUAUGCCUCUGAUGAAGGAGCCUACAUGGUCCUCCCACAAGCAUUGAUUCUGGUUCUAAGGUAUCAUCUGGGGCCCAAUCUCCUGGGCAGCUCGGAAGCUGAGAACAUACUGCUCAAGAAAGGAUGCUGUUUUUCCUCUUGUUUCCAGGUCAAAGAUUGAGUUCCCAGAGGUGAAUUAACAAGUGAAUGUUUAAGAUCUGUUAGUACUCAGAAGCUUUCAAAAUCUUUUUCACAGUAUUUACCACUGACUCAUUAUUUCAUACCUGUAUAUUUUCUUAUAAAUGUGUUUGUUCUUCUGAGUAAUAAAAAGGAAAAAACUGCCUAAUGCAGCCAGGUGAUCUCUAGAAGGGAAUUAACUGCUAUAAUGUUUUUGGUUUUAGAGACAGGGUCCCACACUCUAUCACCUAGGCUGGAGUGCAGUGGCAUGACAUAGCUCACUGUAGCCUCAAACUCCUGAGUUUAAGUGAUUCUGUCAUCUCAGCCCCCCAAGUAGCUAGGACUAUAGGCAUGCACCACCACACCUAGCUAUUUUUAUUUUUAUUUUUAGUAGAGACAGAUCUCUCUAUAUUGCCCAGGCUGGUCUCAAACUCCUGCCCUCAAGGGAUCCUCCUGCCUUGGCUUCUGAAAGCAUUGGGAUUACAGGUGUAAACCUCCGUGCCUUGCCUAACUAUUACAACUUUGACCUAAUUCCUACAGACAUUUUCUUUAGUUGCCUUGUGCAAAGUACUUUAUUUCAAGUGCUAGGAAGAAUACCUAGAGAACUGCUCAUCUCAUCAACUAAGGCUUUCCUCUCAGUAUGAAGCUCUUUUACCUCAGCCUUUAUGUGGUUUUGUUUCUGAGAUAAGAUCUCUUAAACUCUUGAUUGAUUGCUGAGAAUAUUUAAACUUUAUUUAUUCAGUGGACUGAUACAAUAAAUAUUUAAACUUUAUCCAGUGGAUUGAGUAAAUUUAUUUAAUCAAUUGAAAACUUAAUUUGUUUUCAACUGAUUAAGGAGACAUUCAGAAGAUCAAAAAUGUUAUUCAUCAAAGAGCAUCCAUCUGUAACAAGAGAAAUAUUCUGAAGUUGGUGUUCAGAUGUUGGUGUAGAGGUAGUCUACAGAUUUUUGGAAACUCAGUUUGAAUAGCUACUUCAAGAGAAAAGAGAGGCACCUCCAUGUGGUUGUCAGCAUGCCCGGUUGUUAUAAGCCGGACAACUGAAAACUACUUGAAAUCUAAGAGGGUCUUUCCACUGUCUUCCCAGCUCCCUCAGCUGGAUUACUCCACUCCACCUUCUGGUCUCAGGCUAAGUGUUGCUGCCUCAACAAACUAUCCCUGGCCCCCUAAUUAGGUUGGGCCCCUCGUAUACUCUCAGAUACAACUCCAUAUUUCCUUCUUAGCUAUCACAAUUAUCACUAAAUAAGCAUUUCUGUAAUAAUUCAUUUACAUUCACCUCCAAUAAAUCAUGAGCUCUAUGACACCAGUGAUCUUAUCUGUAUUGCAUGCUGCUCUUCCGGCUCCCAGUUGAUUCAUUCAACAAAUAUUUAUCAAGUGUCUCUUACGUGCCAGACUCCAUGCCAGGUACCAGGGACACAUGGUGAAAAAAACAGACAAAGAUUCCUGCCCUGAUGAAACUUAACAUUCAAGAGAGGAACUCAAACGAUAAACGAUGACCUAAUCAAUGAAAUAGUGUAUUAAAAGGUAAACAGAGCUGUGGAAAAAUAAAAGGUAGAACAGUGUAAGGAAGGGAAGCUGGUUGCAGGGGUAAAUAGGGUGGUCACGUUAACCCCUAUCGAGAAGGUGAGAAGUAAGCAAAGAUUUGAAGGUGAGGAAGUUAGCUCAGUAGACAACUGGGUAAGAAAGUUCCAGGCUGCAGCAGAUUCCUUAAGGCAGAGGAGUACCUGGUUUGUUCUAAGAAGAUCAGCGGGGUUAGUGUGGUUGGAGAGGUAUAAGCAAGACAGUAGUAGAAGAUAAGAUCAGAGAUGCUCAACAAAUAUUUGUUGAGUGAAUGGAUGAAAAAAACAAAUAUUUUCAAUUUUUACUACUAUGAAGAAUGUUCCCAUGCCUUGCAUAUUUUCUCAUAGGUGAGAAAACAAGUCUCUAGAUUCAUCCAGUCCACAAACUGUAAUCUCAUCUAUAUUAAGUGGCAACUCUACAAAGCAUUGUGUCCUUUUAUUGCCAAAGAGGAAGGAUCUCCUGGCUGAGUCAAGAGAUGGCGGUGUGUCCUCUUAACCCUGAGUCAUUGAACUGCUCUUAGCCUGGAUUCACACAACAGAGCCUGAAGCUGAGGAGAUAAAGGAGAUCCUGUGGCUCCAGUCACAAGCCUGUGGUGCUGACAGGCCACUCCACCUUCAAGGCUGACGUGAUGGGAACCAAAGUGCAGGCAGAGGGACAAGAAAGCGUUCAAAGAGGCUGAGAAGCACUAUCUCACUCAGCACAUUGAGCAGAGAGAGCUGGGAAGAAAAAUGGGCUCUUUGUGGACAAAUGGCUAUCCCACCCUCACUCCCAACAUUGAAACUCACUCCCCAGAAGGGGUCUGAAAUCUACACACACUAAUGGUAUAUGUCAGUAGUUUCCAAAUACCGCUGCAGGACCAGCUGUCAGAUGCUUGGCCAACUCUUCUCUCAGAACUUCCUAAGAAGCCUUCUCUUUUUUCUUUUUUAUUGAUUUUCAAAAUUUUUUUCUUACUCUGACAGAUGGAGAGAAGCCUUCUCAAACUGCAGAGUCUGGAAGUCCACCUCUGGAGAGUCUGAAUCGGUUUUCUGGACAGACUCAGGAAUUCACAUUUUUCACAGCUCCCCAUGAAAUUCUAAAGAGCAGCCAAGUUUGGGAACCACUGCUUUACUGUGCUGCUAGUGUGCCUGCAUUUGAUAGGAAAGGAACAUCUUUCACCAGUGGCAUAGGUUUCCUUUGGAGUUAUUUCAGGGAUCACUGGUCAUAUUAUGUUGAGGUACCAAGGGCAGGGGGACCUGCCAGAAUUUCUGAAAUCACAGGCUAGAAACGACCAUCUUCACAGAGUCUAUGCCCCUUGGGACAGUGAUGGAAGAAUCUGACCCUCUUCUCAGGUUUCUCCUCACCCCCACCGGCAAGUUCUUCCAAUGGGGUCACCAGUUUGAAAGCAGCUAGAGAUUUUUGUACAUAUUAAUGAAUUAUAACAGAGAGAAGUGUGAGAAUCUUAGAAUUUCCAUUAAUAUUCUAGUAAGGGUUGUGAGAAAGAUAGCUGUGGAAACCAUCACAAGAUGGCUCCCAAAGAUCCCUACCAGCUCGUCUUCAUGCUCUUGGGUAGUUCCCUUUCAUUGCACUAGGGUUGAUCUGUGUUGUCAGUGGAAUACAGCAGAAGUGAUGGUAUGUAGCUUCCACAAUUAGGUCAUUUAAAAACACAGUGUCUUUCAUCUUGGGCUGCCUUUCCCCCUUUGCUCACUCACUCUGGAGAAAGCCAGCUGUCAUGUUGUGAGGACACUCAGGUGCUGUAUGGCCAUGUAAUGAGAGACUGAAGACCCGCUGACAGCUAGCAAGGAACUAGAGCCUGCCAACAGUGCAAAUGAGCUGGAACAUGGAUCCCCCAGUCCCAGUCAAGCUUUCAGAUGAUUGUAGCCCCAGCCAAGUUAGACUGCAACCUCAUGAGAGACCCUGAAUGAUAAUAAAUGUUUGUUGUUUUAAGCUGCUAAGUUUCAGAAUAAUUGUUUUGCAGCAGUAGAUAAUACAAUGGUGAGUUCAAUAGUUCAUCAGAGAAUAAUUCAUUACAAUCCCAAUCUAUACUUUUCUCUCCAACUAAGCCAUAUGGCAUUUUAACAAACUUUUACUGAAAUAUAGCAUAGAGAUAUAGAUGUAGAUAUAUAGAAAGUGUACAAAUCAUAAAUGAAUACAUUUCUUUAUACAACACCCAGACCAGGAAAUAAAAUAUCACCAGCAUCCCAGAAGCACCCUCAUGCCCCUUUUCAGUUACUAGCCACCUCAUCCUUAAAUAUAACAAGUAUGGCCAUACAGAAGUUUUGCCUGCUUUUAAACUUUAUAUGAAUUAAAUCAUACCAAUCAUACCACAUAUACUCUUUUGUGUCUGGCUCCUUGACCUCAUCAUGUCUGUGAGAUUCAUCCAUGUUGCUUUGUGCUUUGAAAGUAUCUGUUGAAUUGUCUUACUGAUUUGUAGUAGUUAUAUAUUCUAGAGACCAGUUCUUUGUCAGAUAGGUGAGAUACAAAUUUCUCCCAUGUUAUGGCUUUUUUUUUUUUUGAGACAAAGUCUCACUCUGUCACCCAGGCUGGAGUGCAGUGGCACAAUCUUGGCUUGCUUGCCUCCCGGGUUCAAGCAAUUCUCCUACUUCAGCCUCCCGAGUAGCUGAGAUUACAGAUGUGUGCCAAUACACCCAGCUAAUUUUUGUAUUUUUAGUAGAGAUGGGGUUUCACCACAUUGGCCAGUCUGGUCUCGAACUCCUGGUUGAGUUCAGGAGAUUUGCCUACCAGGUGAUCUGCCUGCCCCAGCCUCCCAGAGUGCUGGGAUUACAGGUGUGAGCCACCACACCCGGCCAGUUUUUUCAUUCUCUUAAUGGGAUCUUUUUAAAAAGGAAGUUGUUAGUUUUAAUUUAGUCCAUUUUAUGAUUUAUUUUCUUUGUGGUUUAUACUUUCUGUGUCCUGUUUGAAAAAUAAUUGCCUUCACCAAGAUCAUAAAGAUAUCCUUGUUUUCUUUUAGAAGCUUCAUUUCAUACAAUACAUAUGGAAUUGAUUUUUGUGUAUCAUGUAGUAUAGAAGUUGUGAUUCAUUUUUCCUAUGUGGGUAUCCAAUUGAUUUAUUGCUAUUUAUGAAGAUCAUUCUUUUUCUUGUGCUUUAUUGUCCCUUUGUCAUAACCCUAGUGACUGCAUAUUGUCUGUUUCUGGACUGUUUAUAAAGCUGCCUUUGCAAAAUUAUGACAGUAAGAGAAAUCUGACAUAAUCGACUCCAUCUUGCUUCUGAUCUCCAAGCUGUCCUUGGUCAUUCCUAGGCACAGGCCAAGCUAACUUGGGGAGGAAUAUAGUUGAUAGUUGAACUUUGAAGCAAGGAUGAUAAAGUCCCUCCCUUAAACCAAACCCCUCCUAGUUGAGGGACUAAAACCACCUUUGUAAGACUAAUGAAAGUCCACAAUAUUAGGAUUAUGAGAGAGGCCUGAAUUCUGCUAAAAUAUAGGUGUAGUUUUUGUAAUCCCUUACUGCUCAGGAGUCAUGUGGCCAAAGGCCACACAACAUGUGACUUUCCCAAUUUCUCUUAUAGAUAACAUCACCAUUGUAGAACCUAAGAUUGACCUUUUGAGAUUUUUUUUUCAGACUUUCUGGCCACCAGCUGAUCCCACCUGGACCUGUGACUCAUGACUUAACUGACCCUGCAGGCCCACCCAGAGGUGCACUUAGCACAAAAUGACCGAUUUCCACAACCCUAUGAUUUCAUCCCCAGCUAAUCAGCAGCCUCCAUUCCCUACCCACUUGCCCACCAAGUUGUCCACAAAAACCCUAGCCUCUGAGUUCUUGGCAAGACUGAUUUGAGUAAUAACUCCGUCUCCCGUGUGUCCAGCCUUGUGUCAAUUAAACUCUUUUUUUUUUUUUUUUUUUUUUUUUUUUUGCCGGAAUACCAUGGUCUCAGUGAACUGGUUUUGUCUCUGCAGGAGGCAGGAAAACCUGUUGUGCAAUUACAUCUAGUCUGUUCAUUUUUUUUAUUAUUAUUUUGAGACAGAGUCUCGCUCUGUCUCCCAGGAUAGAGUGCAGUGGCGCAAUCUCGGCUCACUGCAACCUCCGACUUCCGGGUUCACGCCAUUCUUCUGCCUCAGCCUCCUGAGUAGCUGGGACUACAGGCGCCCGCCACCGCGCCCGGCUAAUUUUUUUUAUAUAUUUUUAGUAGAGACGGGGUUUCACCGUGUUAGCCAGGAUGGUCUCCAUCUCCUGACCUCGUGACCCGCCCACCUCAGCCUCCCAAAGUGCUGAGAUUACGGGCGUGAGCCACCGUGCCCAGCCUACAUUGUCUGUUCAUUUUUAAAAUACCAAGUUCAUCAAUCCAUAAAUAUAACAUAUUUCUCUAUUUAUUUAGGUCUUUUUUAAAAAAUUUUCUUCUAAAAAAUAAAGGGGGGACACAUGUGCAGAAUGUGCAGGUUUGUUACAUAGGUAUAUGUGUGCCAAGGUGGUUUGCUGCACCUAUUGACCCAUCCUCUAAGUUCCCUCCCCUCAGCCCCCACCCCCCCAACAGGCUCUGGUGUGUGUUGUUCCCCUCUCUGUGUCUAUGUGAUCUCAUUGUUCAACUCCCACUUAUGAGUGAGAACAUGCAGUUUUUGGUUUUCUGUUCCUGUGUUAGUUUGCAGAGGAUAAUGGCUUCCAGCUUCAUCCAUGUCCCUGCAAAGGACAUAAUCUCAUUCCUUUUUAUGGUUGCAUAGUAUUCCAUGGUGUAUAUGUACCGCAUUUUCUUUAUCCAGUCUAUCAUUGAUGGGCAGUUGGGUUGGUUCCAUGUCUUUGCUAUUGUGAAUAGUGCUGCAAUAAACAUAUAUGUACAUGUGUCUUAUAGAAUGAUUUAUAUUUCUUUGGGUAUAUAUCCAAUAAUGGGAUUGCUGGGUCAAAUGGUAUUCCUGGUUCUAGAUCCUUGAGGAAUCACCAUACUGUCUCCCACAAUGGUUUAACUAAUUUACAUUCCCACCAGCAGUGUAAAAAGCAUUCCCAUUUCUCCACAGCCUCACCAGCAACUACUGUUUUCUGACUUUUUAAUAAUAACCAUUCAGAUUGGCGUGAGAUGGUAUCUCAUUGUGGUUUUGAUUUGCAUUUCUCUGAUGAUCAGUAAUGUUGAGCUUUCUUUCAUAUGUUUGUUGGCCAUAUAAUUUUUUUUUUUUUUUUUGAGAAGGAGUUUCACUCUGUUGCCCAGGCUGGAAUACAGUGGUACAGUCUUGGCUCACUGCAAACUCCACCUCCUGGGUUCAAAUGAUUCUCCUGCCUCAGCCUCCUGAGUAGCUGGGAUUACAGGUGCCUGCCACCAUGCCCAGCUAAUUUUUGUAUUUUUAGUAGAGAGAGGGUUUCACUAUGUUGGCCAGGCUGGUCUCAAACUCCUGACCUCAGGUGAUCCGCCCACCUCGGCCUCCCAAAGUGCUGGGAUUACAGGUGUGAGCCACCACGCCCAACCUAAAUGCCUUCUUUUGAGAAGUGUCUGUUCAUAUCCUUUGCCCACUUUUUGAUGGGGUUGUUUUUUUCUUAUAAAUUUGUUUAAGUUCCUUGUAAAUUCUGGGUAUUGGACCUUUGUCAGAUGGGUAGACUGCAAAAAUUUUCUGCCAUGCUGUAGGUUGCCUGUUCACUCUGAUGGUAGUUUCUUUUGCUGUGCAGAAGCUCUUUAGUUUCAUCAGAUCCCAUUUGUCAAUUUUGGCUUUUGUUGCAAUUGCUUUUGGCAUUUUUGUCAUGAAGUCUUUGUCCACACCUAUGUCCUGAAUAGUAUUGCCUAGGUUUUCUUCUAGGGUUUUUAUGGUUUGGGGUUUUACAUUUAAGUUUUUAAUCCAUCUUGAGUUAAUUUUUGUAUAAAGUGUAAGGAAGGGAUCCAGUUUCAGUUUUCUGCAUAUGGCUAGCCCGUUUUCCCAGCACCAUUUACUGAAUAGGAGAUCCUUUCCCCAUUGCUUGUUUUUGUCAAGUUUGCCGAAAAUCAGAUGGUUGUAGAUGUGCAGUGUUAUGUCUGAGGCCUCUGUUCUGCUCCAUUGGUCUAUAUAUCUGUUUUGGUACCAGUACCAUGCUCUUUUGGUUACUGUAGACUUGCAGUAUAGUUUGAAGUCAGGUAGUAUGAUGCCUCCAGCUUUGUUCUUCUUGCUUUGGAUUGUCUUGGCUAUACGGGGUCUUCUUUGAUUCCAUAUGAAAUUUAAAGUAGUUUUUUCUAAUUUUGUGAAGAAUGUCAAUGGUAGUUUGAUGGGAAUAGCAUUGAAUUUAUAAAUUAUUUUGGGUAGUAUGGCCAUUUUCACCAUAUUGAUUCUUCCUAUUCAUGAGGAUGGAAUAUUUUUCCAUUUGUUUGUGUCCUCUCUUAUUUCCUUGAGCAGUGGUUUAGAGUUCUCCUUGAAGAGGUCCUUCACAUCCCUUGUUAGCUGUAUUCCUAGGUAUUUUAUUUUCUUUUUAGCGAUUAUGAAUGGGAGUUCAUUCAUGAUUUGGCUCUCUGCUUGUCUAUUGUUGGUGUAAAGGAAUGCUUGUGAUUUUUGCACAUUGAUUCUGUAUCCUAAGACGUUGCUGAAGUUGCUUAUCAGUUUAAGGAGUUUGGGGGCUGAGAUGAUGGGGUUUUCUAAAUAUAAAAUCAUGUCGUCUACAAAGAGAGACAAUUUGACUUCCUCUCUUCCUAACUGAAUACCCUUUAUUUCUUCCUCUUGCCUGAUUGCCAUGGCCAGAACUUCCAAUACUAUGUUGAAUAGGAGUGGUGAGAGAGGGCAUCCUAGUCUUGUACCGGUUUUCAAAGGUAAUGCUUCCAGCUUUUGCCUAUUCAGUAUGAUAUUGGCAGUGGGUUUGUCAUAAAUAGUUCUUAUUAUUUUGAGACAUAUUCCAUCAAUACCUCAUUUAUUGAGAGUUUUGAUUAAUUUGUUUCAGUAAUAUUUUGUAGUUUCAUCAAUAUUUUGCUAGUAUAAAGCGGACGGCAUUUUUAAAUCUUUUUUUUUUUUUGAGACAGUCUUGCUCUGUUACACAGGCUGCAGUGCGGUGGUGCUAAAAUAGGCUUGUUCUGUUGACUUUGACCCUCUUUGCGGGUGGGAACUGGAGUGACACGUUUCACUCAGCCCACCACUGGCCACUCCUCCCGAGAGGAAGCGUUCAAGCGAGUGCAGGAACCCGAGGGAAUGAAUGCUAGAACCGGCCAGUCACUCCUCUGGGGCAGGAGCAGGUUCUAUGCGAGCCCCGCAGCAGCGUCCAAGCCCCUGCCCUCUCGGCACUUGGGUUCUUGUCUCGCAUCAUGGAAGAAUCAGAUCACACAAACGGAUUGAAGGGUAGUGUAUAUGGAGAAUUUUAUUGGGCAAUGGAAGUGGCUCCCAGCGGGAUAGGAGUUGGAAAGGGGAUGGUGCGGGAAGAAGGUAGUCUUUCCCUGAAGCCAGAGUCUGAAGUUAGCCGCGUCUAUCUGUAGUCUCUGACGCUCAGUUGCUUCUCUACUUGCUGCUCAGCCGCUUGUGUUGCUCUGCCAGCUGCAGUCUUUUUAUGGGCACAGGAUAGGGGCGUGGCAGGUCAAAAAGGCAACAUUUGUGGGGGGAAAAUGGGGUCAGCUGUUUUCACUUGGGGCCACAGUUCCAGGCUUAAGGGUGAGGUUUAGCUGGGAGCCCAGCCAUUCUGUGUCAGUGCAAUCAUAGCUCACUCUAAUCUCAAACUCCUGGACUCAAGUGAUCCUCCCACCUCAGCCUCUCAAGUAGCCAGGACUACAGGAAUGCACCACCACACCCAGCUAAUUUUUGUAUUUUUUUGUAGAGACAGGGUCUCACUAUGUUGCUCAGUUUGUGCAGGCUGAUCUCGAACUCCUGGACUCAAGCAAUCCUCCUGCCUUGGCCUCCCAAAGUACUGGAAUUACAGGCGUGAGCCUCUAUGCCUGGCUUUGUCUUUUAACUUUUUAUUUUGAAAUAAUUUUAGAUUUACAGAAGAGUUACAAAAAUAGCACAGAGCUCCCAUUACUCAGCUUUUGUGCCAUCACUCAGCUUUACCUAAUGUGAACAUCAUUUAUAACCAUGAUGUUUAUCAAAACUAAGAAAAUUAACAUUGGUAAAUAUUACCCUUAACUACUGUUCUUCAGUGAGCAGGCCUAUGCAAACCUGCCCCCAAAGUCCAAGGAAGCUGAAAGGCCAAAAAGGAGGCUAACAUAUUCGGCUCCUAAGAAAGAAAUAUUUAAUAGGGACUUAUGAACAGAAACCAUGUUUGUUUCUCAGGCAGCAGCAAGACAAGAUGGUGGAUCCCUGUGCUAUUACCCACCAGACCAAGGGCUUGGAUACCACAGGGAAGGGUCACUCAGAAGGGAUGUGUAAGACAACUGAAAUAUGAUAGAAUGAAGGUCACUUUAACCUAAGGGCAGGACUUAUGGGAUGCCUCAAAUUUGUAGGUA